UCAAAAACAUCUUUUCUUGUUAGUUUCUGAAGUAUGGCCUGCCCGCUGACGUAUUUUGAGUUGAAGGGCCGCGGUAUUUUGACCGUGCAAAGGUAGCAUAGUCAUUAGUUCUUUAAUUGUGAUCUGGUAUGAAUGGCUUGACGAGACAUGGGCUGUCUUGGGUGUGAAUUUGUUGUUGAAUUUGGAGUUUAAGUUAAAAUUCUUAGAUGUUUUUAUGGGACGAGAAGACCCUAUAGAGUUUGACAUUUGAUUGCGUAUUUCUUGUUGUUUGUUUUGAAUUUUUGUGCAUCUCUUGUUUUGUUGGGGUGAUGGGAGGAAUUUAUUUAACUCCUCUUUUAUGUGGUAUAUUGAUUUGUAAUUGUUUUGAUCCAUUUAUUUUGAUUGUAAGAUUAAAUUACCUUAGGGA
rnacentral:rRNA from 1 species